AUUGAACGCUGUCGGCAGGCCUAACACAUGCAAGUCGAGCGGUAGCACAGAGAGCUUGCUCUCGGGUGACGAGCGGCGGACGGGUGAGUAAUGUCUGGGAAACUGCCUGAUGGAGGGGGAUAACUACUGGAAACGGUAGCUAAUACCGCAUAAUGUCGCAAGACCAAAGUGGGGGACCUUCGGGCCUCAUGCCAUCAGAUGUGCCCAGAUGGGAUUAGCUAGUAGGUGGGGUAACGGCUCACCUAGGCGACGAUCCCUAGCUGGUCUGAGAGGAUGACCAGCCACACUGGAACUGAGACACGGUCCAGACUCCUACGGGAGGCAGCAGUGGGGAAUAUUGCACAAUGGGCGCAAGCCUGAUGCAGCCAUGCCGCGUGUGUGAAGAAGGCCUUCGGGUUGUAAAGCACUUUCAGCGGGGAGGAAGGCGGUGAGGUUAAUAACCUCACCGAUUGACGUUACCCGCAGAAGAAGCACCGGCUAACUCCGUGCCAGCAGCCGCGGUAAUACGGAGGGUGCAAGCGUUAAUCGGAAUUACUGGGCGUAAAGCGCACGCAGGCGGUCUGUCAAGUCGGAUGUGAAAUCCCCGGGCUCAACCUGGGAACUGCAUUCGAAACUGGCAGGCUAGAGUCUUGUAGAGGGGGGUAGAAUUCCAGGUGUAGCGGUGAAAUGCGUAGAGAUCUGGAGGAAUACCGGUGGCGAAGGCGGCCCCCUGGACAAAGACUGACGCUCAGGUGCGAAAGCGUGGGGAGCAAACAGGAUUAGAUACCCUGGUAGUCCACGCCGUAAACGAUGUCGAUUUGGAGGUUGUGCCCUUGAGGCGUGGCUUCCGGAGCUAACGCGUUAAAUCGACCGCCUGGGGAGUACGGCCGCAAGGUUAAAACUCAAAUGAAUUGACGGGGGCCCGCACAAGCGGUGGAGCAUGUGGUUUAAUUCGAUGCAACGCGAAGAACCUUACCUGGUCUUGACAUCCACAGAACUUUCCAGAGAUGGAUUGGUGCCUUCGGGAACUGUGAGACAGGUGCUGCAUGGCUGUCGUCAGCUCGUGUUGUGAAAUGUUGGGUUAAGUCCCGCAACGAGCGCAACCCUUAUCCUUUGUUACCAGCGGUUCGGCCGGGAACUCAAAGGAGACUGCCAGUGAUAAACUGGAGGAAGGUGGGGAUGACGUCAAGUCAUCAUGGCCCUUACGACCAGGGCUACACACGUGCUACAAUGGCAUAUACAAAGAGAAGCGACCUCGCGAGAGCAAGCGGACCUCAUAAAGUAUGUCGUAGUCCGGAUUGGAGUCUGCAACUCGACUCCAUGAAGUCGGAAUCGCUAGUAAUCGUAGAUCAGAAUGCUACGGUGAAUACGUUCCCGGGCCUUGUACACACCGCCCGUCACACCAUGGGAGUGGGUUGCAAAAGAAGUAGGUAGCUUAACCUUCGGGAGGGCGCUUACCACUUUGUGAUUCAUGACUGGGGUGAAGUCGU
rnacentral:rRNA from 1 species